UACCAGCUCUCCGAGUGGUAGGGAUGUUUAUUGGGCUUAAAGCGUCCGUAGCCGGCUUAGCAAGUCUCCUGUUAAAUUCAGCGACCUAAUCGUUGAGCCGCGGGAGAUACUAUUAGGCUAGGAGGCGGGAGAGGUCAACGGUACUUCCGGGGUAGGGGUGAAAUCCUAUAAUCCCGGUAGGACCACCAGUGGCGAAGGCUGUUGACUAGAACGCGCUCGACGGUGAGGGACAAAGCUGGGGGAGCGAACCGGAUUAGAUACCCGGGUAGUCCCAGCUGUAAACGAUGCGAGCUAGGUGUUGGGGUGGCUACGUGCCACUUCAGUGCCGCAGGGAAGCCAUUAAGCUCGCCGCCUGGGGAGUACGGCCGCAAGGCUGAAACUUAAAGGAAUUGGCGGGGGAGCACCACAAGGCGUGAAGCUUGCGGUUC
rnacentral:rRNA from 1 species